GGUGAACCUGCGGAAGGAUCCUUUAUCGAGGU
rnacentral:rRNA from 1 species